AUUGAACGCUGGCGGCAGGCCUAACACAUGCAAGUCGAACGGUAACAGGAAACAGCUUGCUGUUUCGCUGACGAGUGGCGGACGGGUGAGUAAUGUCUGGGAAACUGCCUGAUGGAGGGGGAUAACUACUGGAAACGGUAGCUAAUACCGCAUAACGUCGCAAGACCAAAGAGGGGGACCUUCGGGCCUAUUGCCAUAGGAUGUGCCCAGAUGGGAUUAGCUUGUUGGUGGGGUAACGACUCACCAAGGGGACGAUCCCUAGCUGGUCUGAGAGGAUGACCAGCCACACUGGAACUGAGACACGGUCCAGACUCCUACGGGAGGCAGCAGUGGGGAAUAUUGCACAAUGGGCGCAAGCCUGAUGCAGCCAUGCCGCGUGUAUGAAGAAGGCCUUCGGGUUGUAAAGUACUUUCAGCGGGGAGGAAGGGAGUAAAGUUAAUACCUUUACUCAUUGACGUUACCCGCAGAAGAAGCACCGGCUAACUCCGUGCCAGCAGCCGCGGUAA
rnacentral:rRNA from 1 species